rnacentral:lncRNA from 1 species
GUUUGGUUGGUUUCGGCAUCGAAUGUGAUUUUGGAAAACUCUAAGUUAUCUUAGGCUUUAAUUUGAGGAAAAUGAUGAUUUUUGGUGUUAAUGUUGGUGUUUUCAGCGCUCGAGCAAGUUUGAAUGGGGUAUUUGGUCAUAUUUGUAUUUUUGGUUUGGACUCCGGGGUCCUCGGGGUGAUUUCGGGUAGCUAACGGAAGGAUUUGUAGUUGGAAAAGUUGCAGAUUUUGAGGCUAUAGCUGUUGCAGGCAUUUGCCUUAUGCGAUUGCAGGUAUGGCAUUGCGAUCGCGUAGAAGGCUUGGUCGGGGUCCUAGAAUUGUUCUAUGUGAUCGCGUAUUUGGUGAUGCGAUCGCGUAGAUUCACGUUGUUGCUCUCUGCGAUCGUAGAAGGGAGUUUACAAUCGCGUAAGUCUGGCAUGUGAAUCAAUGCGAUCGCAGGGUGUUGGUCGCGCUCGCAUAGGCCAAUAUGGAGGCCUGGGAAUCUUGAACUAUGCGAUCGCAGGAGGAAGUUCGCGAUCACAUAGAGGAAAUUAUAUCUGAGCAGAGGGCUUUUUAUAAACAUUUCAUCCACGAGCUAUCUCAUAUUUCCUCCAUUUUUGCACCACCUUG